GGUGCCGCGCAGUGGUAGAGUACUUACCUAGCAUGUGUGAGGCCCUGGGUUUGAUCCCCGGCACCA
rnacentral:tRNA from 1 species